rnacentral:rRNA from 1 species
GACGAACGCUGGCGGCGUGCCUAACACAUGCAAGUCGAACGGAGAAUUAGCAAUAAUUCUUAGUGGCGAACGGGUGAGUAACGCGUAGACAACCUACCCUUUAGAUGGGGACAACACCGCGAAAGUGGUGCUAAUACCGAAUAUUGCUUGAGAAGCGCAUGCUUUUCAAACUAAAGAUGGCCUCUAUUUAUAAGCUAUCGCUAAAGAAUGGGUCUGCGUCUGAUUAGCUAGUUGGUGAGAUAAAAGCUCACCAAGGCAACGAUCAGUAGCCGGUCUGAGAGGAUGAACGGGCACACUGGGACUGAGACACGGCCCAGACUCCUACGGGAGGCAGCAGUGGGGAAUCUUCCACAAUGGACGAAAGUCUGACGGAGCAACGCCGCGUGAGUGAUGAAGGUUUUCGGAUCGUAAAACUCUGUUGUUAAGGACGAAUGUAUAGAUUGUGAAUAAUGGUUUAUAAUGACGGUACUUAACGAGGAAGCCACGGCUAACUACGUGCCAGCAGCCGCAGUAA